AAUUCUCAACCCUCUUCACUUUUGUGAAUUGGGCUUGGACUUGGAGGUAUUUGCCGGGAACUCCUCGGCUCCUCUCAAAUGAAUUAGUACGUCUCGUUGCGAUGUACGCCUCGGUGUGAUAAUUAUCUACGCUGUGCGUGUGCUUGCUUCCUUUGGGAUGUGCUCUCAAAUCGUCCAUUCUCGGACGACGAUUAUAAUAUCGAA
rnacentral:misc_RNA from 1 species